GAUGAACGCUGGCGGCGUGCCUAAUACAUGCAAGUCGAGCGAACGGACGAGAAGCUUGCUUCUCUGAUGUUAGCGGCGGACGGGUGAGUAACACGUGGAUAACCUACCUAUAAGACUGGGAUAACUUCGGGAAACCGGAGCUAAUACCGGAUGAUAUUUUGAACCGCAUGGUUCAAAAGUGAAAGACGGUCUUGCUGUCACUUAUAGAUGGAUCCGCGCCGCAUUAGCUAGUUGGUAAGGUAACGGCUUACCAAGGCAACGAUGCAUAGCCGACCUGAGAGGGUGAUCGGCCACACUGGAACUGAGACACGGUCCAGACUCCUACGGGAGGCAGCAGUAGGGAAUCUUCCGCAAAGGGCGAAAGCCUGACGGAGCAACGCCGCGUGAGUGAUGAAGGUCUUCGGAUCGUAAAACUCUGUUAUUAGGGAAGAACAUAUGUGUAAGUAACUGUGCACAUCUUGACGGUACCUAAUCAGAAAGCCACGGCUAACUACGUG
rnacentral:rRNA from 1 species